GAAAAACCUCUUCAAUUGGCACGUUCUCCUGCGCUCAGUCACAAUAAUGAACUCAAAACAUAAAACCCAGGAAGCAAGAAAACCCAAAAUACAAAACUCUUAAAAGGCAGAAAUAUCAAAAGGGUGAAGUUCUGAUUAACAAAUAGAAAAACAGAGAGAUGGGUUCAGCUUGCUCUGUUUUUUUUCUUUCUUUUUUGUUUUUAUUUGUACCAAAU
rnacentral:misc_RNA from 1 species